rnacentral:rRNA from 1 species
UACGAAGGGGGCUAGCGUUGCUCGGAAUCACUGGGCGUAAAGCGCACGUAGGCGGCUCUUUAAGUCAGAGGUGAAAUCCUGGGGCUCAACCCCAGAACUGCCUUUGAUACUGAGGAGCUUGAGUCCGGGAGAGGUGAGUGGAACUGCGAGUGUAGAGGUGAAAUUCGUAGAUAUUCGCAAGAACACCAGUGGCGAAGGCGGCUCACUGGCCCGAUACUGACGCUGAUGCACGAAAGCGUGGGGAGCAAACAGG